AGCGAACGCUGGCGGCAGGCCUAACACAUGCAAGUCGAACGAAGCCUUCGGGCUUAGUGGCGGACGGGUGAGUAACACGUGGGAACGUACCUUUUGGUUCGGAACAACUCAGGGAAACUUGAGCUAAUACCGGAUGAGCCCUUAGGGGGAAAGAUUUAUCGCCGAAAGAGCGGCCCGCGUUAGAUUAGCUAGUUGGUGAGGUAAAGGCUCACCAAGGCUACGACCUAUAGCUGGUCUGAGAGGAUGAUCAGCCACACUGGGACUGAGACACGGCCCAGACUCCUACGGGAGGCAGCAGUGGGGAAUCUUGCGCAAUGGGCGAAAGCGUGACGCAGCCAUGCCGCGUGAAUGAUGAAGGUCUUAGGAUUGUAAAAUUCUUUUACCAGGGACGAUAAUGACGGUACCUGGAGAAAAAGCCCCGGCUAACUUCGUGCCAGCCGCCGCCGUAACAC
rnacentral:rRNA from 1 species